UAUAUGUUCAUUUAUUAAGAA
rnacentral:piRNA from 1 species